UGGGGCUCUCCGCCGCGGCUCCCAGGGAAUCAGCCUCCUGCCCGGGGCUUCCCGCACAAAGGCCGGCGGCGGCACCUGGGGGCCGUACAAUGCGGUGCGCGGUCGAGGCCGGGGCGGCCCUGGCGCGGUGCGGUGGAGCCCGGGGAGCGUACCGCACUCCACCACCCACUUAGAGGUCUGUGCGCACCCCUCACCCCAGCGCGCACCCAGCUCCGCCCGGCAGCCUCGCACCUUAGCCCUUACUCCCCACCGCCUUGCAGAUUCGAUUGUAAGAAAGAAACCUGCGCUUUUCAAUGCCUACGUUUUCUCCAGUAAGAGCUUCUAGUUUGAAAAUUUUCUACCCGUACGUAUAAUUAAGUAGUGAAGAAAUCGACCCAUAAAGAACUAAAUUCCAAGCGACGGACGAUAUUCCUUGACGUUCCUGAUUCUAUACCUACCUCCUUCCAUUGACAGUUUGUCUUUUCUAUUGCCGACUAGCCUUAAUUCGCUCUUUAAUCAUAAAAUUUUUAUUUGAAGAUAAGAUAAAGAACAAAGCCCAUAUGAGCCAUUACAUCAGUGGUUGUUGAGAUUCGUCCCGUAGAAGAAGUUUUCGCGUACCGACAUUCGAAUUUUAAAUAGAUAUUCUGGGCACACCUUUUAUAGGAUCACUGCAUUGUGAUCCCAAUACCUUUAGGUCAACACAAGUUAUUUUGUGUAGCCCACUUUUUCUUUUCCUCUGUAAUUUCUUUAGAAGUAAAGCCUCUCCUAAUUUUAUAAAAGCAGAAUAUUUCCCCAUUUGAAAGGGGUUAAAAAGGGAACUCUUUCUAUGUGUCACAUAGUUACUAAGGAGAACG